GUUUUAAUAAUUUAACAAAAAUAUUGGUUUUGUAAACCAAAAAUAAGAGCUUCUUUUAAAACU
rnacentral:tRNA from 1 species